rnacentral:rRNA from 1 species
GACGAACGCUGGCGGCGUGCCUAAUACAUGCAAGUCGAGCGAAGUUUUUCUGGUGCUUGCACCGGAAAAACUUAGCGGCGAACGGGUGAGUAACACGUAAAGAACCUGCCUCAUAGACUGGGACAACUAUUGGAAACGAUAGCUAAUACCGGAUAACAGCAUUAACUGCAUGGUUGAUGUUUGAAAGUUGGUUUUGCUAACACUAUGAGAUGGCUUUGCGGUGCAUUAGCUAGUUGGUGGGGUAAAGGCCUACCAAGGCGACGAUGCAUAGCCGACCUGAGAGGGUGAUUGGCCACACUGGGACUGAGACACGGCCCAGACUCCUACGGGAGGCAGCAGUAGGGAAUCUUCCGCAAUGGGCGAAAGCCUGACGGAGCAACGCCGCGUGAGUGAAGAAGGAUUUCGGUUCGUAAGGCUCUGUUGUUAGGGAAGAAUGAUUGUGUAGUAACUAUACACAGUAGAGACGGUACCUAACCAGAAAGCCACGGCUAACUACGUGCCAGCAGCCGCGGUAAUACGUAGGUGGCAAGCGUUGUCCGGAAUUAUUGGGCGUAAAGCGCGCGCAGGUGGUUUAAUAAGUCUGAUGUGAAAGCCCACGGCUCAACCGUGGAGGGUCAUUGGAAACUGUUAAACUUGAGUGCAGGAGAGAAAAGUGGAAUUCCUAGUGUAGCGGUGAAAUGCGUAGAGAUUAGGAGGAACACCAGUGGCGAAGGCGGCUUUUUGGCCUGUAACUGACACUGAGGCGCGAAAGCGUGGGGAGCAAACAGG